rnacentral:rRNA from 2 species
UACGUAGGGUCCAAGCGUUAUCCGGAAUCACUGGGCGUAAAGCGUGCGUAGGUGGCGUGUUAAGUGUGAUGUUAAAUCGUGUGGCUCAACCAUAUCGAUGCAUCACAUACUGGCAUGCUAGAGGGAAGCAGAGGCAAGUGGAAUUGGUAGUGUAGCAGUGAAAUGCGUAGAUAUUACCAGGAACACCAAUGGCGAAGGCAGCUUGCUGGGCUUCUUCUGACACUGAGGUACGAAAGCGUGGGGAGCGAACAGG